AACGAACGCUGGCGGCAUGCCUAACACAUGCAAGUCGAACGAGACCUUCGGGUCUAGUGGCGCACGGGUGCGUAACGCGUGGGAACCUGCCCUUAGGUUCGGAAUAACUCCCCGAAAGGGGUGCUAAUACCGGAUAAUGUCUUCGGACCAAAGAUUUAUCGCCUUUGGAUGGGCCCGCGUUGGAUUAGCUAGUUGGUAGGGUAAAAGCCUACCAAGGCGACGAUCCAUAGCUGGUCUGAGAGGAUGAUCAGCCACACUGGGACUGAGACACGGCCCAGACUCCUACGGGAGGCAGCAGUGGGGAAUAUUGGACGAUGGGCGAAAGCCUGAUCCAGCAAUGCCGCGUGAGUGAUGAAGGCCUUAGGGUUGUAAAGCUCUUUUACCCGGGAUGAUAAUGACAGUACCGGGAGAAUAAGCUCCGGCUAACUCCGG
rnacentral:rRNA from 1 species